rnacentral:rRNA from 1 species
UACGUAGGGCGCAAGCGUUUAUCCGGAAUUAUUGGGCGUAAAGAGCUCGUAGGCGGUUUGUCGCGUCUGCCGUGAAAGUCCGGGGCUCAACUCCGGAUCUGCGGUGGGUACGGGCAGACUAGAGUGAUGUAGGGGGAGACUGGAAUUCCUGGUGUAGCGGUGAAAUGCGCAGAUAUCAGGAGGAACACCGAUGGCGAAGGCAGGUCUCUGGGCCACUACUGACGCUGAGAAGCGAAAGCAUGGGGGAGCGAACAGG